UGAAAUGAAAUGCAGGUACAUUAUUGUUGAUUCAUUGAAGUUUAAUCAUCGAGAUGUAAUACUCGAAUUCAGAAAGAUAACCAAGAUGUACGGAAUCACGGAUCAUCAUCAUGAGGUGUAAGCGGUCGAAGAUCGAGUCACAAGAUAGAUUGUACGUGAAUGCUUGAUUAUGUAAUUAGUAAACAUAAGUUAUGUUUUCAUUUCAUAAAUGAGAACAAAGGAUAAAUUUAUUGUAAAAGAGUCAUUUCAAAAUGGACUUUCAAUCAUGUCAAGACGUCUGUAAAGAAAGAAAUUUUAUGGUACGUGUUUCCGCUGCGA